CUUGCCCCUAGAGGCAUUGCAGGUAUGAGUGCUGUGUCACAUUGCAUCUGUAGGUGGCAGAGAUGUGACCUAUGAAUGUCUGUAUGAUUAGCAGA
ensembl:snoRNA Gm22380 predicted gene, 22380